ensembl:lncRNA
UUGAAAAUAGCCUUGCUCUUGCAGGAUCCUCACGGUCGUUUUGGUGGCUGUCAGUGUGGUUUGGAUUCCCAUCCUCCAGAACUCCAACAGCGGCCAACUUUACAUCUACAUCCAGUCCGUGACCAGCUCCCUGGCUCCGCCAGUCACGGCUGUCUUCCUGCUGGCUGUUUUCUGGACUUGAGCCAACGAACAGGUAAAUUCAGGUUCGGGAAAUUACAUUUGGCGUUUAGCUUAAAACAAACGUUCAGGGAGACCUAUAUUUCCUGCUCUUACAACCAUUUUGUCCUCCAGUGACACAGUCACUUUCAUUGUUCGUUAGGUGUGUCAGCAGGCGGACCUUAAAAGAAAGUCCCCGCUUACCUUUCUGCGAUUAACCACACUUCUGCUUUCAAUGUGCUUUUACAAUCAGAUGCCUUUUGCCACUUGAGAGAGCACUGUGUCUAGAUACGGGAUUGGUGUCUUGUUUCAUUUUGGCCUGGCUCUCCUGCAUUACCCCAGGCCUGACAAGUGUACAAGUGGCUUAACAGCAUUUAGCGAAAUAAUUUGAGGAUCCCUUCCCUACGACCUGCUUUGCUAUCUUUCAACUCAUGUUUCCAUCUGCAGGGAGCAUUCUGGGGUUUAAUGGUGGGGCUAGCUGUCGGACUGAGCCGCCUGGCCUUGGAGUUUGCACACCCAGCGCCCAGCUGCGGCACCCCGGACAGAUGCACUUCCCUGGUGAAGGAUAUCCAUUAUCUCCACUUUGCCAUCCUCCUCUGCCUUCUGACUGUCUCGGUGGCCGUGGGCAUCAGCUUGUUGACUAGACCUCCAGAGGAAACCCAGACCCUGGCCAGGCACCAGAGCUCCAGAGCAGAGAUCUGGGGGACCUCUUCGCCAGCCUAGAGGAGGAGCAGCCCUGGGAAGACUCUGACUGGGAUUGGACCAGCCCACCAGUCUUGGAAGCCAGCACGCCGUGGAGGCUUGUCAAUACCUUCCUCCCGGCAUCUGAAUCAUCCUUCCUCUCAAGGCGUUUACUUGCUGCCUGUUUGUUUGGCGUGGUUCGGCUUCUGUUUCUGCCGCUGGGAAACUGGCUCGCCCGUCGGAGAGCGACGGGUUGGCGGCCUCCAGCUGAGGUCGAUUCGAACCCGGAGCUGGGAGAGCAAGAUUUGGUCCUCGCUCGUCGGUCGUCUGCCUGCUACGCUCUCCCUGUGCCAGGUACCAGAUCCUUUCAAGGCCAUGUUAAGUGGCUUUCCCGGUGCGUUGGUCUGGGGCUUAUCUGCUGCUGCCGCUUGCGAGCUAGGAGUCAGUCGGUGCUGAUCUCCACACCCUCCGGGGAUGCUGCUCUAAAUCGCCAUUGCCCCUAGCAAGCAGGGACGAUGGGAGAUGUUGUCCAUUCGUUCUGGAAGGAGCCAGGAUGGAUAGGGAACCGUGCUCUAGCCUCUGCCCUUUCGUAGAAAUGGGGCUUUGGGCUUAGGGCUUCCUCUCUUUUCCUGACGCUUCCUCAGAAUAUUGUGCUCUCUGUGGAGGCGAAGGGAACCAAAGGGUGGUGCUGCCUCCUUGUGACCCCCCCCGCUGCCUCACCCAUGAGGCAUCCCCCCCCCCAUUUCCACCCAGGCGUGGCUGCUGCGUCCUGGCAUACAGUUGUGUUCAAGAGUUUGAGAAGUCUAGCCUGGGGAGAUGGGACACAGUGGCUUCCCCAAGCCGGACCCUGCUGGCGUUCACUCGUUUUUUUCAGCAGCACAGUAAAACAGAUGGAUAGGUAGAAACCUGGAAUGUAUUCGCAUUUAAAUUUUUAUUUUUAAACACUGUGAGCUGCCUUGAGUCCCCUUAUUACUGGAAGAAAGGCAGGCUCUAAAUGGUACAUGAAAGAAAGAAAGAAAGAGGUUUGUUUGUAUUCCUUACUUUAUUGUGAAAGCUCAUGUGAAUGAAAUCUCGAUACUCCAGCCCUGUUAUUUUUAAGAUGGAUCCAAAAUGCAUGUUAAAACGGUCAUCGCCGACAAUAUCCGUUUCUGCUGGGCUUCUGCAGCUUAGAGAUCAGAAGGAAAAGAGGAGAUAUAAAAACGCAGGCCAAUUAAAGGAACCUGGCAAGCUGAACAUGGAUCAGCAAAGUCCCCACUGGGUCCUGCUGCCUAUA